GUAAAUAAUUAAGGGCGUAUGGUGGAUGCCUAGGCUCUCAGAGGCGAAGAAGGACGUGAUAAGCUGCGAAAAGCUCCGUUUAGGUGCAAAUAACCUUUGAUGCGGAGAUCUCCGAAUGGGAUAACCCAAUAUGUUGAAGACAUAUUAUACCGUAAGGUAGGCAAACGCAGGGAACUGAAACAUCUAAGUACCUGCAGGAGAAGAAAACAAACGUGAUUCCCCCAGUAGCGGCGAGCGACCGGGGAUAAGCCCAAACCGUUAUUGUUUCGGCAGUAGCGGGGUAGUAGGACUGCAAGCUUGAUGAAAUAAAUGAAAUGGAACACCUUGGAAAAUGUGAUCACAGAGGGUGAUAAUCCCGUACAUGCAAGUUUAUGAAUCAUAGCAGACUCCUGAGUAAGUCGGGACACGUGUAAUCCUGACCGAAUCCGCCGGGACCAUCCGGCAAGGCUAAAUACUCCUGAGAGACCGAUAGUGAACCAGUACCGUGAGGGAAAGGUGAAAAGCACUUCGAACAGAAGAGUGAAAUAGUCCCUGAACCCAUACGCCUACAAGCUGUCGGAGCCGCUUCGUGCGGUGACGGCGUGCCUUUUGCAUAAUGAGCCUACGAGUUACUCAUCACCAGCGAGGUUAAGUACUUCAGGUACGUAAGCCGAAGCGAAAGCGAGUCUGAAUAGGGCGUCAAGUUGGUGGUGGUAGACGCGAAACCUUAGUGAUCUACCCAUGGGCAGGGUGAAGGUUUGGUAACACAAACUGGAGGCCCGAACCGGUAAACGUUGAAAAGUUUUCGGAUGACCUGUGGGUAGGGGUGAAAGGCCAAUCAAACUGGGAAAUAGCUCGUACUCUCCGAAAUGCAUUUAGGUGCAGCCUCUGUUGUUUUGUUCUAGAGGUAGAGCUACUGAUUGGAUGCGAGGGCUUCACCGCCUAUCAAAUCCGGCCAAACUCCGAAUGCUAGAACAUGAAGACAGGGAGUGAGCCAGCGGGUGCUAAGGUCCGUUGACGAAAGAGGGAGAACUCAGACCAUCAGCUAAGGUCCCCAAUUGUAUGCUAAGUUGGAAUUAAAACGGGGUGGGACUGCUUAGACAGCUAGGAUGUUGGCUUGGAAGCAGCCAUUCAUUUAAAGAGUGCGUAACAGCUCACUAGUCGAGCGGUCCUGCAUGGAUAAUACGCGGGCAUAAGCAUAUAACCGAAGCUAUGGGAUUGUAGAUGAUACAAUCGGUAGGAGAGCAUUCCAUUCAGCAUAGAAGCAGUACCGUGAGGUAUUGUGGAGCGGAUGGAAAAGCAAAUGUAGGCAUAAGUAACGAUAAUGCGGGUGAGAACCCCGCACGCCGAAAGAUCAAGGAUUCCCCGGCAAUGUCAAUCAUCCGGGGGUAAGUCGGAUCCUAAGGGUAAGCCGAGUGGCGAUCCCGAUGGCAAACAGGUUAAUAUUCCUGUACUGAUCAUAACUGCGAUGCAGCGACGCAGAGGUGACACUGCUGCGUACUGACGGAAUAGUACGUUGAAACCCGUAUUCUUUGAUACCGGUAGUGAAGCACGCCGGUAGAGAUGAAAGGUGAUAGUACCGCAAUGCUUCGGUUGCGCGGAUAAUGCAGGUAAGCUGACUGCCAAGAAAACCUGCUAAGCUUCAGGUAAUGAUCAUCCGUACUGUAAACGGACACACGUGAUCAGGUAGAAAAUACUAAGGCGUCGAGAGAUUCAUGGUUAAGGAACUAGGCAAAAUGGUCCUGUAACUUCGGGAUAAAGGACGCUCUUGUGAAAGAGCCGCAGAUAAUAGGCCCAGGCGACUGUUUACCAAAAACACAUGGCUAUGCUAAUUCGCAAGAAGAUGUAUAUGGCCUGACACCUGCCCGGUGCCGGAAGGUUAAGAGGAGAGCUCAGAUGUAAGUCGAAGGUUUGAAUUGAAGCCCCGGUAAACGGCGGCCGUAACUAUAACGGUCCUAAGGUAGCGAAAUUCCUUGUCGGGUAAGUUCCGACCUGCACGAAUGGUGUAACGAUCUGGGUACUGUCUCAACCAUGAGCUCGGUGAAAUUGUAGUUCCGGUGAAGAUGCCGGAUACCCGCAACGGGACGGAAAGACCCCGUGAACCUUUACUGCAGCUUUGCAUUGAUUUUGGGUAACAGAUGUGUAGGAUAGGUCGGAGGCUUUGAUGCUGCGUCGUCAGGCGUAGAGUAGCCGUCGUUGAAAUACGACCCUUUUGUUAUCUGAGGUCUAAUCCCGUUAGGGAGACAUUGCAUGGUGGGUAGUUUGACUGGGGUGGUCGCCUCCAAAAGUGUAACGGAGGCUUCUCAAGGUACCCUCAAGGCGUUUGGUAAUCGUCUGCAGAGUGCAAUGGCAUAAGGGUGCUUGACUGUGAGACCGACACGUCGAUCAGGUUGGAAACAAGAGCAUAGUGAUCCGGUGGUUCCGCAUGGAAGGGCCAUCGCU
rnacentral:rRNA from 1 species